ensembl:lncRNA
AUUUGCCUUCCUUGCCUGUUUGGCUAUCAGGCUAUGAAGAACUCUCAGAAAAAUAAAAAUAUGAAUUAAGACUAAUGGGGACAUGAAUUUCUUCUCACGCUCACUGCUCUGAGAAAUUUCAUUUCAGGUUCCCAAGUGCAAAUUUCAGACAGUUAAAGUACACAGAAGUUAGCAUGAGCUGCAAGGUCACAGAUGGGAAUAUUCCUUUACCUUAGAUGCGAGUUUAUUGGGCAUUUGUCAUUUUACUAUUAUUUUUCUCUUGUGGGAGAGAAGUUUUUUUUUGCAUUGCUAGGUAACGGCAAUAGAGGAAAGUAGACCUGGAUUAUUUCAUGCAAAAGCAUCUGCCUUUUUACAUCUACACCAACGUGAAGGGCAACAAGUAACCUUGAUGAGACCAUAGAGUUAUUCUGGGUUUAGCUUUCAUCUAAAAACUGGAUGAAAAGAAGAAUGUUUCAUGGGAAGGGAGGGGAAACUCCAGAACUGCCAUUUUUCUUUCUGGGAAAGCUGUAGAAGCACCACGUUAAAAUUACAAUUUUGACUAAGAUAUCCUCACCCAACAAACCAAAGACAACCAACAACCAAAACACCCAAUGUCUUAAAAAUCAGAGUUCUUCUAGCAAUACAGAAUCAGUGCCUUUUAGUAUCACUGCAUUUCUCUGAUGUAGAAAGCAAGGAACACCAGCUAAAUGAAGCACAAUCAGAUCUGCAAUCAAAUGCAGAACUUUGGCCUUUGGCAUCUCUCAAAAAUGAAAGUGACUACUUUUUCAGGCAGAAGGGAAGAAGCAGGAAAAAAAGAAAAAAAAAGAAAAACCAAAACACAAAGAAACAUCACAACCUCAUUGUUAACUCUCCUUCUUACACAAUCAAUGCAACAAGAAUUCUCCAGAGGCUUCGCAGCACAGCUGAAAAUCUGUCCUGUAAUACAUGCAAGACCACAGCUCAAAACGUCAGAACUGCACUGGCAAUGAUCUGGGCUUGAUCUUUUUGACUUAUACCACAGUAAACCAAAUUGAAUUACAUGGAAUGAAACAAAAUUUCUUGAGUUCUAAAUCAGUACCCUUUUAGAACAAAUAUUGAUGAAAUUAUCCCACUGGUUGGACAGAAGGAUUCAAUACUUUCGGUGAUAAUUUCUUUGAACCAAAGGUUUUGGAUAUAGGGCAUAGGAUAAUAUUGUUUUAAAUAAAGUUAUAUUCAGUCUGUCAUUCUAGAGAAGCUGGAUGUACUGAAAU